GACCCCAUGCUUCAGCAGAAGUCUUGAAGACUGUUGCCCCCCCCCCAAGCCAAGCCUGAUUUUGGAAUAGCAGCAGUGCAGGAAAUGGAGAAUGGAUGGGAGAUAAGAAGUUGCGGUAGGAAAGGAAAUGCAGAUGGAAGAACAAGAGAAACAAAAUGCAGAAACAGUCGAGGGCCAAAAGAAAAAAGCUUCUGCUGAAAUUUUGCUACAGUUCUUCCUUUUUCCCACCAGAGGGCAAAGUAGCAAUAGUACCACACAGCUGCUCCCGGCCAGCAAGGGAAGAGAAAGAGCCUGUAGUGCCUUC